rnacentral:rRNA from 1 species
AUUGAACGCUGGCGGCAUGCUUUACACAUGCAAGUCGAACGACUGGCGAACGGGUGAGUACUAUAUCGGAACGUACCGCGUAAUGGGGGAUAACACAUCGAAAGAUUGGCUAAUACCGCAUAUUAUUGGAGCGGCCAAUAACUGAUUAGCUAGUUGGUGGGGUAAGGGCCUACCAAGGCGACGAUCAGUAGCGGGGCCGAGAGGACGAGCCGCCACACUGGGACUUGGACACGGCCCAGACUCCUACGGGAGGCAGCAGUGGGGAAUGUUGGACAAUGGGGGCAACCCUGAUCCAGCCAGGCCGCGUGUAUGAAGAAGGCCUUCGGGUUGUAAAGUACUUUUGUUAGGGAAGCGGGACCUAAAGAAUAAGCACCGGCUAACUACGUGCCAGCAGCCGCGGUAAUAC